GUAGGGGGCAAGCGUUAUCCGGAUNUACUGGGUGUAAAGGGAGCGUAGACGGCUUUGCAAGUCUGAUGUGAAAGGCGGGGGCUCAACCCCUGGACUGCAUUGGAAACUGUGAGGCUUGAGUGCCGGAGAGGUAAGCGGAAUUCCUAGUGUAGCGGUGAAAUGCGUAGAUAUUAGGAGGAACACCAGUGGCGAAGGCGGCUUACUGGACGGUAACUGACGUUGAGGCUCGAAAGCGCGGGGAGCAAACAGGAUUAGAUACCCUGGUAGUCCACGCGGUAAACGAUGAAUACUAGGUGUUGGGUGUCACAGACAUUCGGUGCCGCAGCAAACGCAAUAAGUAUUCCACCUGGGGAGU
rnacentral:rRNA from 1 species